UUCUCAGUUCGGAUCGGAGUCUGCAACCCGACUCCGUGAAGCUGGAUUCGCUAGUAAUCGCGCAUCAGCCAUGGCGCGGUGAAUACGUUCCCGGGCCUUGUACACACCGCCCGUCAAGCCAUGGAAGCCGGGGGCGCUUGAAGUGCGUUGCCGCAAGGCGCGCCCUAGAGCGAAACCGGUGACUGGGGCUAAGUCGUAACAAGGUAAC
rnacentral:rRNA from 1 species